rnacentral:rRNA from 1 species
CGAGGCAUCGAUGACCGAGAGGGUUCGAUCCUGGCUCAGAUUGAACGCUGGCGGGAUACUUUACACAUGCAAGUCGAACGGCAGCACGGACUUCCGGUCUGGUGGCGAGUGGCGAACAGGUGAAGUAAUAAUAUCGGAACGUGCCUAGUAGCGGGGAUAACUACGCGAAAGCGUAGCUAAUACCGCAUACGCCCUUCGAGGAAAGCGGGGGACCUUCGGGCCUCGCACUAUUAAGAGCAGCCGAUAUCGGAUUAGCUAGUUGGUGGGGUAACGGCUCACCAGGGCGACGAUCCCGUAGCUGGUUUGAGAGGACGACCAGCCACACUGGGACUGAGACACGGCCCAGACUCCUGGGAAGCAACCGAUGGAAUUGCAGACAAUGGAAACCCUGAUCCAGCCAUCCCGCGUGUGCGAUGAAGGCCUUCGGGUUGUAAGCACUUUUGGCAGGAAAGAAACGGCACGGGAUAAUACCCCGUGCAACUGACAGUACCUGCAGAAUAAGCACCGGCUAACUACGUGCCAGCAGCCGCGGUAAUACGUAGGGUGCAAGCGUUAAUCGGAAUUACUGGGCGUAAAGCGUGCGCAGGCGGUUCGGAAGAAAAGAUGUGAAAUCCCAGAGCUUAACUUUGGAGUGCAUUUUUAACUACCGAGCUAGAGUGUGUCAGAGGGAGGUGGAAUUCCGCGUGUAGCAGUGAAAUGCGUAGACCAGCUAUGCGGAGGAACACCGAUGGCGAAGGCGGCCUCCUGGGAUAACACUGACGCUCAUGCACGAAAGCAUUGAAAUUUAAAACAGGAUUAGAUACCCUGGUAGUCCACGCCCUAAACGAUGUCAACUAGCUGUUGGGGCCUUCGGGCCUUGGUAGCGCAGCUAACGCGUGAAGUUGACCGCCUGGGGAGUACGGUCGCAAGAUUAAAACUCAAAGGAAUUGACGGGGACCCGCACAAGCGGUGGAUGAUGUGGAUUAAUUCGAUGCAACGCGAAAAACCUUACCUACCCUUGACAUGUCUGGAAUCCCGAAGAGAUUUGGGAGUGCUCGCAAGAGAACCGGAACACAGGUGCUGCAUGGCUGUCGUCAGCUCGUGUCGUGAGAUGUUGGGUUAAGUCCGCAACGAGCGCAACCCUUGUCAUUAGUUGCUACGAAAGGGCACUCUAAUGAGACUGCCGGUGACAAACCGGAGGAAGGUGGGGAUGACGUCAAGUCCUCAUGGCCCUUAUGGGUAGGGCUUCACACGUCAUACAAUGGUCGGGACAGAGGGUCGCCAACCCGCGAGGGGAGCCAAUCCCAGAAACCCGAUCGUAGUCCGGAUCGCAGUCUGCAACUCGACUGCGUGAAGUCGGAAUCGCUAGUAAUCGCGGAUCAGCAUGUCGCGGUGACCGCGUUCCCGGGUCUUGCACCGCCCGUCACACCAUGGGAGUGGGUUUUACCGUGAUUAGCUAACCAAGGAGGGCGAUUACCACGGUAGGAUUCAUGACUGGGGUGAAGUCGUAACAAGGUAA